CCAGUUAUGCCUUUUCCCUCUUGUAGUUCUUGAGAAAGAUGUGCAAGGCCUCAAGGAUUAUAAGAGGGGAAAGGCAUAAACGGGCG
rnacentral:miRNA from 1 species